rnacentral:rRNA from 1 species
AUGCUGCUGUCAAAACCUGCCGCUUGUGCUGUUGGCAGUCCUCUGCACCUACCACAGCUCCACCGGUCGCAGUCUGCAGCAGUCCACACACGUUCUCAUUCAGAGGUCUUUGUUUCCCUUGCACACACGUUCACAUUGACCUGCCGUGUCCAGUCAAGCAUGCCUUCACGUCCAUGUCUGGUACACAAAUCCUUCAAAAGUCAUCUUCACCCAAGAUCAUCCAACCUUCAACCUCUCUUGUCUCUACUCUGUAUUUUGCUCAGCCUUUUCUCCUUCGACACAUCGGCAUUAGCUGCAUCACAAGCAACCAUGUCCGAGAUUGAUCGCCAUGCCCUCCUCUGCUUCAAGUCCGGCAUCAGCUCUGAUCCCCUUGGCAUCCUACGCUCAUGGAGCAAUGGCUCGCUUGACUUUUGCAGCUGGAAAGCGGUCGCUUGCGGCACCAAGUUUCCACCCCGGGUGGUCUCUCUUAACCUCACCGCCGCUCGUCUUGGUGGGCAGUUAUCUGGAUGCGUCGGCAACCUGACAUUUCUUUCUCGGAUGAACCUUGCUGAUAAUCAUCUGUCAGGAACCAUCCCUGGAGAGCUGGGUAAGCUUCCAAACCUCCAUACACUGAAUCUUGCCGGCAGCAAUUUUCAAGGUAACAUCCCUGAUUCACUAGGCACUAGCAGUUUUCUUACCUACGUCAAUCUUGCAAACAACACUCUUACUGGUGGCAUCCCUCUCUCACUGGCCAAUAGCGCCUCACUCAGCACACUUAUACUGUCACGUAAUAACCUCUCUGGGGAGAUCCCUUCUACUUUGUUUGGUAAUUCAUCCAAGCUUACCGUCGUUGAUCUCCAGAUGAAUUUUUUCACUGGUCCCAUCCCACAUUUCCAUAAGGUCACAACACUCAAAUUUCUUCGUCUGACAGACAACUUCCUCUCUAGGAGCAUACCUCCUUCAAUAGGAAAUGUUUCUUCCCUCACUUCUAUAUUGCUCGGCCGAAAUAGGUUAUCGGGAUUAAUUCCAGAGACUUUGAGUCACACUGCAAAACUGCUUGAGCUUGAUCUAAGUUUCAACGGCUUAUCAGGGAGUGUCCCGUUGUCUUUUUACAACAUGACAUCACUCGAAUUCUUCAAUGCGGGCAGCAAUGCCCUUGUUGGACAGAUGCCAUCUCACAUUGGUUUCUCACUACCAAACCUCCAGAUCCUUGUCAUGGGAAGCAACAGGUUGGAGGGCCUGAUCCCUGCUUCACUAUCCAACAUGUUAAAUCUCCAAACACUUGAUCUUUCAAACAACUUGUUACAUGGCUCUGUGCCAUAUCUUGGUUCUUUGGCAAACUUACGUCGGUUGGAUUUAGGAAUGAACUUGCUAGAAGCACAUAACUGGUCAUUCCUUACAUCUCUAGCAAAUUGCACCCAGCUGACAAAGUUGUCCUUGGAAGGGAAUCUUCUAAAUGGCAGCCUACCUAUAUCAACUGUUAAUCUUUCCAGGAGGCUAGAACAUUUAUCGCUUGGGUCAAACCAAAUUUUGGGCUCCAUACCUGUUGAGAUUAGCAAUUUUGUUAAUCUCACUUCACUUGGGAUGGAGAGUAAUUUUCUUUCUGGAAGCAUACCUUCUACCAUCGGGAAGCUACAGAACCUAUACAUCCUGAAUCUAUCAAAGAACAAAUUAUCAGGUCAGAUCCCUCCCUCAGUGGGUGGCAUUACUCAACUGGGCAAACUUUAUCUUGAUGAUAACAACUUGAGUGGAAACAUACCUGGUAGUUUAGGUCAGUGCAAGGGACUUCUUGAACUAAACUUGUCUCGGAACAAUCUUGACGGGUCAGUACCAGACGAACUGUUUGCUUAUCCUCCACUCUCCUUGGUUCUGGACUUCUCACACAACAAUCUCACAGGGGAACUACCAUUGGUAGUUGGUACACAUAGCAGUGGUGGUCCAGUAUCCCUUCACAUGGAAGGAAACAAGUUUCAUGGACAGAUUCCAGAAAGAUGGCAUCUAUUUUUUCCUGUUGAAUACUCCUGCAAAAUACUGCUGGCGAAAAUAUCGGCCUCCUCCGGUGCCCAAGGAGCAAGAAAGUGGACCAAGCCGAUAUUU